CUGUAUGCGUGGCCUCCGGGCCAACGCGACACCCCCUGUGUACCAUCCGGUUGCUUCGGUGGGCCGCCUCGGCCGCUGCCUUUGGGCGGCGUGUGCCCGCCGGAAGACCCUCAAACGCUGGCUUUUGCGGUGAUGUCUGAGCAAAUGAUAAUCAUCA
rnacentral:misc_RNA from 1 species